rnacentral:rRNA from 1 species
UUGGAGGGCAAGUCUGGUGCCAGCAGCCGCGGUAAUUCCAGCUCCAAUAGCGUAUAUUAAAGUUGUUGCAGUUGAAAAGCUCGUAGUUGAAUUUCGAGAUCAAAUUGUUGGUCGUGCCUCGGUACGUACUGGCAUUAUUGAUUUCUCCCUUCUGAAGAACCUUGAUGUCAUUAAUUUGGUGUCUUGGGGAAUCAGGACCGUUACUUUGAAAAAAUUAGAGUGUUUAAAGCAGGCUCACGCUUGUAUACAUUAGCAUGGAAUAAUGAAAUAGGACGUUUGAUUCUAUUUUGUUGGUUUCUAGGAUCGACGUAAUGAUUAAUAGGGAUAGUUGGGGGCAUUAGUAUUCAAUUGUCAGAGGUGAAAUUCUUGGAUUUAUUGAAGACUAACUACUGCGAAAGCAUUUGCCAAGGAUGUUUUCAUUAAUCAAGAACGAAAGUUAGGGGAUCGAAGACGAUCAGAUACCGUCGUAGUCUUAACCAUAAACUAUACCGACUAGGGAUCGGAUGAUGUUAAUUUUUUAAUGACUCAUUCGGCGCCUUACGGGAAACCAAAGUGUUUGGGUUC